UGGCCAUACCAUGCUGAAUAUACCGGUUCUCGUUAGAUCACCGAAGUCAAGCACCAUUGGGCACGGUCAGUACUUGGGUGGGUGACCACCUGGGAACACCGCGUGCCGUU
rnacentral:rRNA from 1 species